UUAUAUACCGGGGUGAGAAAUAGCAUAUCAAUAAGCGGAGGAAAAGAAACUAACAAGGAUUCCCCUAGUAACUGCGAGUGAAGCGGGAAAAGCUCAAAUUUAAAAUCUGGCGGUCCUUGGCCGUCCGAGUUGUAAUCUAGAGAAGUGUUACCCGCGCUGGACCAUGUACAAGUCUCCUGGAAUGGAGCGUCAUAGAGGGUGAGAAUCCCGUCUCUGACAUGGACUACCAGGGCUUUGUGGUAUGCUCUCAAAGAGUCGAGUUGUUUGGGAAUGCAGCUCAAAAUGGGUGGUAAAUUCCAUCUAAAGCUAAAUAUUGGCGAGAGACCGAUAGCGAACAAGUACCGUGAGGGAAAGAUGAAAAGAACUUUGGAAAGAGAGUUAAACAGUACGUGAAAUUGCUGAAAGGGAAACGCUUGAAGUCAGUCACGUUGGCCAGGGAUCAGCCUCACAAUUUGUGUGGUGUACUUUCUGGUUAAUGGGUCAGCAUCAAUUUUGACUGUUGGAAAAAGACUUGGGGAAUGUGAUAGCUUUGGCUGUGUUAUAGCCCCUUGUCAUAUACAGCAGUUGGGAUUGAGGUAUUCAGCACGCCGCAAGGCCGGGUUUCGACCACGUUCGUGCUUAGGAUGCUGGCAUAAUGGCUUUAAGCGACCCGUCUUGAAACACGGACCAAGGAGUCUAACAUGCCUGCGAGUGUUUGGGUGGAAAACCCGAGCGCAUAAUGAAAGUGAAAGUUGAGAUCCCUGUCGUGGGGAGCAUCGACGCCCGGACCAGAACUUUUGGGACGGAUCCGCGGUAGAGCAUGUAUGUUGGGACCCGAAAGAUGGUGAACUAUGCCUGAAUAGGGUGAAGCCAGAGGAAACUCUGGUGGAGGCUCGUAGCGAUUCUGACGUGCAAAUCGAUCGUCAAAUUUGGGUAUAGGGGCGAAAGACUAAUCGACCAUCUAGUGGCCG
rnacentral:rRNA from 1 species